rnacentral:rRNA from 1 species
AUUGAACGCUGGCGGCAGGCCUAACACAUGCAAGUCGAACGGUAACAGGAAGCAGCUUGCUGCUUUGCUGACGAGUGGCGGACGGGUGAGUAAUGUCUGGGAAACUGCCUGAUGGAGGGGGAUAACUACUGGAAACGGUAGCUAAUACCGCAUAACGUCGCAAGACCAAAGAGGGGGACCUUAGGGCCUCUUGCCAUCGGAUGUGCCCAGAUGGGAUUAGCUAGUAGGUGGGGUAACGGCUCACCUAGGCGACGAUCCCUAGCUGGUCUGAGAGGGUGACCAGCCACACUGGAACUGAGACACGGUCCAGACUCCUACGGGAGGCAGCAGUGGGGAAUAUUGCACAAUGGGCGCAAGCCUGAUGCAGCCAUGCCGCGUGUAUGAAGAAGGCCUUCGGGUUGUAAAGUACUUUCAGCGGGGAGGAAGGGAGUAAAGUUAAUACCUUUGCUCAUUGACGUUACCCGCAGAAGAAGCACCGGCUAACUCCGUG